rnacentral:misc_RNA from 1 species
GCCUGUUCGAGCGUCAUUAUAACCCCUCAAGCUCAGCUUGGUAUUGGGGCCUGCCGUCUGGCAGCCUUAAAUCAGUGGCGGUGCAUCUGGCUCUAAGCGUAGUAAUUUUCCUCGCUACAGAGUUCUGGUGGAUGCUUGCCAUCAACCCCCAAUUUUCUAUGGUUGACCUCGGAUCAGGUAGGGAUACCCGCUGAACUUAA